rnacentral:rRNA from 1 species
GACGAACGCUGGCGGCGUGCCUAAUACAUGCAAGUUGAGCGCUGAAGGUUGGUACUUGUACCAACUGGAUGAGCAGCGAACGGGUGAGUAACGCGUGGGGAAUCUGCCUUUGAGCGGGGGACAACAUUUGGAAACGAAUGCUAAUACCGCAUAAAAUCUUUAAUCACAAGUUUUAAGUUUGAAAGAUGCAAUUGCAUCACUCAAAGAUGAUCCCGCGUUGUAUUAGCUAGUUGGUGAGGUAAAGGCUCACCAAGGCGAUGAUACAUAGCCGACCUGAGAGGGUGGUCGGGCAAAUUGGGACUGGGACACGGGCCAAACUGCUACGGGGAGGAACAGUAGGGAAUCUUCGGCAAUGGAGGAAAGUCUGACCGAGGAACGCCGCGGGGGGGAAGAAGGGUGUCGGAUCGUAAAACUCUGUUGGUAGGGAAGAACGUUGGUGAGAGUGGAAAGCUCAUCAAGUGACGGUAACUACCCAGAAAGGGACGGCUAACUACGUG